GAUGAACGCCGGCGGCGUGCCUAAUACAUGCAAGUCGAGCGAACAGAUAAGGAGCUUGCUCCUUUGACGUUAGCGGCGGACGGGUGAGUAACACGUGGGUAACCUACCUAUAAGACUGGGAUAACUUCGGGAAACCGGAGCCAAUACCGGAUAAUAUUUCGAACCGCAUGGUUCGAUAGUGGAAGAUGGUUUUGCUAUCACUUAUAGAUGGACCCGCGCCGUAUUAGCUAGUUGGUAAGGUAACGGCUUACCAAGGCGACGAUACGUAGCCGACCUGAGAGGGUGAUCGGCCACACUGGAGCUGAGACACGGUCCAGACUCCUACGGGAGGCAGCAGUAGGGAAUCUUCCGCAAUGGGCGAAAGCCUGACGGAGCAACGCCGCGUGAGUGAUGAAGGUCUUCGGAUCGUAAAACUCUGUUAUUAGGGAAGAACAUACGUGUAAGUAACUGUGCACGUCUUGACGGUACCUAAUCAGAAAGCCACGGCUAACUACGUG
rnacentral:rRNA from 1 species